AGUCGAGGGGCAGUUCCGCCUUCGGGCGGGAGCGACCGGCGCACGGGUGCGUAACGCGUAUGCAACCUACCUGCUACAGGGGGAUAGGUCCCGGAAACGGGAAUUAAUACCGCAUACCACCAUUGAUCAGCAUUGGAUAAUGGUAAAAACCAAGGUGGUAGCAGAUGGGCAUGCGUCUGAUUAGUUAGUUGGUGAGGUAACGGCUCACCAAGGCGACGAUCAGUAGCGGGUCUGAGAGGAUGAUCCGCCACACUGGGACUGAGACACGGCCCAGACUCCUACGGGAGGCAGCAGUGAGGAAUAUUGGUCAAUGGGCGAGAGCCUGAACCAGCCAUGCCGCGUGCAGGAAGACGGCCUUCUGGGUUGUAAACUGCUGUU
rnacentral:rRNA from 1 species